AAAGACUCAAUUCCUGAGUUUUUGUGUUUAACGUUUGACUAUCCGUCUUAUAUGAAAUUUUUUUAUAAUUAGUAUUUUCAUUGUUGUUAGAUGAUAAAUCAUGAAUAAUAUUUUAUGUGUGAUUUAUCUUUUUAAUUUUUUUUAUAAUAUUUUCAAAUAAGACGGACGGUCAAACGUUAGACACGAAAACCUAUA
rfam:Oryza glaberrima chromosome 6 Oglab06_0029_9, whole genome shotgun sequence.